AUGGAAGCUCCUCCCCCAGCCCCCCCUAACUUCCUCCUCCUCCCUUCCCGCGCAGUGUGCAGAGGGCCGGCCACGCCCAUCCCGCCCGAGGUCCAGAUCCUCUACACCACUUCCUGCAGCCCCAAGUUGGACGAGGACUCGGUGGAGCUCUUCUGCCUCAUCACCGGCUUCACCCCGGCCACCAUAGAAGUGGAAUGGUUGGUUGACGGCAUCCCCGAUCUUCUAACGGCCACUCAGACGUCGCCGCGGCGAGAAGAAGGUGCCGCCACCUACUCCGCCACCAGCCGUACCAACAUCAGCCACACCGAGUGGUUGGAAGGGAAGACCUUCACCUGCCGCGUCAGACAUCCCGCCUCCGGCACCAUCAUCCAGGACCACGCCCGGGCCUGCUCUGGCCUGGAGCCCCCCAGCGUCAGCAACAUCGUCCUCUACGUCCUCCCACCCAACGUGGCCGACCUCUACAUCACCCGUAACCCCAAAGUCCGUUGUUUGGCCACCAACUUGCCGAGCGAUUCCGGUUUCCAACUCUUCUGGAUCAAGGAGAAACCGGGUGUCCUCAGUCCCGAAUUCUUGGAUCUCCAAGAACAAUUUAAUGGCACCUACACGGCCACCAGCACCUUGACCAUCUCCACCCAAGACUGGGAAGCCGGCGAACGGUUCACCUGCAUGGUGAAACACGACGAACUCCAGUUGCCGCUCAACAAGAGCAUCUCCAGACGGGCAGGCAAGGUCUCCCCGCCUCUCAUCUUCGUCUUCGCGCCUCACGCCGAGGAGAUGACUCAAGCCAAAGUCACCCUCACUUGCAUGGUUUACGGUUUCCAACCGGACAACGUCCAGGUCCAAUGGUUGAAGAACCACGAGAACGUCGGCGAAGACCAUUACGUCACCACGCCGCCGCUGAAGGACGGGCCGAAGGAGAGCACCUUCUUCAUCUACAGCAAGAUGAUGAUCCCCAAAGCCAGUUGGUUGGGCGGCGACACCUACACCUGCAUGGUGGUUCACGAAGGGUUGCCCAUGAGGUUCACCCAACGGCAGAUCUCGAAGAGUCCCGGAGCCGACGUCUCGGCCGAGAUUUGCUCGGAAGACGCCGACAAGGACCUGGACGGUCUUUGGGCAACCGUCACCGUCUUCAUCACCCUCUUCCUCCUCAGCGUCUGCUACAGCGCCACCGUCACCCUCUUCAAGGUCAAGUGGCUUUUCUCCACCGUCCUUCACCUCAAACAAACGUCUGGCUCCGCCUACCGGGACGUCCUUAAGGAGGCGGUUUAG